AGGGGUUCAAGCAGGGCAGAUCUAAUUUUCUGGCCACCGAAUACUUUACCAUGGGAUAAUGGGAAUAGGACCCUGUCCUCCUAUUUUCAUUUGGUUUUGGUACCGCGAGGACUAGGGUAGUGAUUGAUAAGGAUAGUUGGGGGGAUUAAUAUUUAUUUGUCUGACGUAAAAUUCUUGGAUUUAUGAAAGAUUAAUUUCUGUCAGAGCAUCUGCCAAGGAUGUUUUCUUUAAUCAAGAACGAAAGUUAGGGGAGCGAACACGAACAAAUACCGUCCUACUCUUAACCAUAAACGAUGCCUACCAACGAUUAGGAAACGUUGAAUACAAAACACCACCCUCGGCGCGUUCGUCCUUGGCUUCUGUCCCUUUCAAUGGGGGCAGGCGCGAGGGGGGAUAAGCCCGGUGGCACCGGUGAAUGACUCCCCUAGCAGCUUGUGAGAAAGA
rnacentral:rRNA from 1 species